rnacentral:rRNA from 1 species
CUUCCGUAGGGGGAACCUGCGGAAGGAUCAUUACUGAUUUGCUUAAUUGCACCACAUGUGUUUUUCUUUGAAACAAACUUGCUUUGGCGGUGGGCCCAGCCUGCCGCCAGAGGUCUAAACUUACAACCAAUUUUUUAUCAACUUGUCACACCAGAUUAUUACUUAAUAGUCAAAACUUUCAACAACGGAUCUCUUGGUUCUCGCAUCGAUGAAGAACGCAGCGAAAUGCGAUACGUAAUAUGAAUUGCAGAUAUUCGUGAAUCAUCGAAUCUUUGAACGCACAUUGCGCCCUCUGGUAUUCCGGAGGGCAUGCCUGUUUGAGCGUCGUUUCUCCCUCAAACCGCUGGGUUUGGUGUUGAGCAAUACGACUUGGGUUUGCUUGAAAGACGGUAGUGGUAAGGCGGGAUCGCUUUGACAAUGGCUUAGGUCUAACCAAAAACAUUGCUUGCGGCGGUAACGUCCACCACGUAUAUCUUCAAACUUUGACCUCAAAUCAGGUAGGACUACCCGCUGAACUUAAGCAUAUCAAUAAGCGGAGGAA